GGAAAUCUGAUGAUGGGAAAGAGUACUUUCUGGAUGCGUGCCUCCAGAGAGCCGGUGGAUGGUGUGAACCGGCGGCCUGGCCGAAAGGAAAAUCCUCCCGGAAGAGACGGACUGAAGCAAAAAUAAGUCCGUACGGCUGAUCCCCGUUAGUGGAAACGCGUAUGUUGGUACGUUGAGAGAGCCUGUGGGCUGCAAGGCCUGCGGGAAAUUGGGUGGUAUCGCGGAGAUGGCUCCGUCCCUUUC
rnacentral:ncRNA from 1 species